AGUGAACGCUGGCGGCGGGCCUAAUACAUGCAAGUCGAACGACAGCACGGUAAGACUUUGCCCUUAUGGCUUGCGCGUGGGGGGGGGGAGUGGCACAUGUGGAACUUUACUUUAUCGCGGGGGUUAAUGCAGGGAACCUUAGGCUAUUACGGCUAAUGAUCAACGUGGCAUAGAACGAGAGUUACAGACCUUGCGCCUGUCACUGAUCCGAUGUCGUAUUAGCUAGUUGGUGGGGUAAAGGCCCACCAAGGCAACGAUCCGUAGCAGGUCUGAGAGGGUGAUCGGCCACACUGGGACUGAGACACGGUCCAGACUCCUACGGGAGGCAGCAGUAGGGAAUAUUCGACAAUGGACGAAAGCCUGAUCCAGCCAUGCCGCGUGGGUGAAGAAGGCUUUCGGAUUGUAAAGCCCUGUUGUUAGGGAAGAACAGCAGCGGUAGAAUACGCCGCUAUUCUGACGGUACCCUAAGAGAAAGCACCGGCUAACUACGUG
rnacentral:rRNA from 1 species